rnacentral:rRNA from 1 species
AGCUGAAACUUAAAGGAAUUGACGGAAGCGCACACAAGAAAUGGGGCCUGCGGCUUAAUUUGACUCAACACGGUGCAACUCACCCGGCCCGGACACAGGAAGGAUUGACAGAUUAAGAGCUCUUUCUUGAUUCUGUGACAGGUGGUGCAUGGCCGUUUCUAGUUGGUGGAGUGAUUUGUCUGCUUUAUUGCGAUAACGAGCGAGACUCUAGCCUGCUAAAUAGGCUGCAGAUCAAUUUAAGUCUGCAGUUCUUCUUAGAGGGACAAGCGGUGUUCAGCCGCACGAAACUGAGCAAAAACAGGUCAGGAUGCCCUUAGAUGUUCGGGGCCGCACGCGCGCCACAUUGAAGGAAUCAGCGUGUACUUUCCCUCCCCGAUAGGGGUGGGUAACCCGUUGAAACUCCUUCGUGCUAGGGAUAGGAAAUUGUAAUUGUUUUCCUUGAACGAGGAAUUCCCAGUAAGCAUUGAGUCAUCAGCUCGUGUUGAUUACGUCCCUGCGCUUUGUGCACACCGCCCGUCGCUAUUAUCGAUGAAUUUUGGAGUGAGAUCAUCGGACCGGUUGUUGUUUAAGUCUAUUAGAUUUGGACGAUUGACUGGAAAGAUGACCGAACUUGAAUAUUAGAG